UACGUAGGGUCCGAGCGUUGUCCGGAAUUAUUGGGCGUAAAGGGCUCGUAGGCGGUCUGUUGCGUCGGGAGUGAAAACUUACAGCUUAACUGUGAGCGUGCUUUCGAUACGGGCAGACUUGAGGCAUUCAGGGGAGAACGGAAUUCCUGGUGUAGCGGUGAAAUGCGCAGAUAUCAGGAGGAACACCGGUGGCGAAGGCGAUUCUCUGGGACGGUACUGACGCUGAGACGCGAAAGCGUGGGGAGCGAACAGG
rnacentral:rRNA from 1 species